ensembl:lncRNA
AUGGCAGGAGUAGAGGAGUUCAUUGCUAUUCCUUCGGAGCAAUUUUUGGAUCAGUGUACUAGGGAUCAGUUGUUAAAGAUAGCUGACCAUUAUAAAAUCAGUGUAGGCGACCGAAGGUUAAAGGACAACGUUAGAUUUACUAUAAGGGCACAUUUGUAUGAUAUUGGUGUUUUAACACCCGUACAAAAAUCACAUAGUCCUCCUAAUUUGGCUUUGGAUGAGUGUUCGCAGGAUAUGUCUCAUAGUGUAGCUUUAAAUUUUGAACAGCAAAAAGAAAUGUUGAUAUUGCGGAUGAAGCUGGAGAAGGAGAAAGAGUUAGAGUUGGAACGGAUGAGGCAGCAAGCAGAAGGUGAUAAAGCGUUGGCACUAGAAAAGAUGAGGCAACAAACCGAAAUGGCAAAGCUAGAUUUGGAAAGUGAGAGACUGAGGUUAGUGAAAGAAGGUAAAUUCAAUGACUUUUCCAGGAAUGAAGAGUUUGCUCGAAGCAGCGGUAAUUCAAGUGAUAUUUUGAAUAGUUUGCGCUUGGUGCCUAAAUUUAGUGAGAAAGACGUGGAUGUAUUCUUCACGUUGUUUGAGCGGAUUGCAGACACGAGGGGCUGGGUUGAUUCAGACCGUAUCGUUUUGCUACAAUGUGUGUUAACUGGGCGUGCUCAGGAGGUUUUUUCCUCGUUGUCUCUGGAAGACAGCGGUGAUUAUGCAAAGGUUAAAACUGCUGUACUGAAAACAUAUGAGUUAGUCCCUGAAGCAUACCGUCAGCGUUUUAGGAGUUGGAAAAAGGGAGAUAAAUCCUAUCUUGAAUUUUCCCGUGAUUUGGGGAUUCACUUUAGUCGAUGGUGCUCGGCUUCAGAAGUGAAGGAUUUUGAUGACUUGUGUAACUUGAUGGUGCUUGAACAGUUUAAGAAUUCAGUUCCAGAACGAAUUGCCAUGUACAUAAGUGAACGGAAGGUAAGGACAGCAGGGGAGGCUGCUGCCCUUGCGGAUGAUUAUUUCUUGACCCACAAAGGUAGCGGUGUCGAUGUCCGCACGCAUGCUUUGUCUGGGGGAAAUGUUGCACCUGCAGGAGGGAUGUUUUUUUCUAGGGCGUCAGGUGGGGGUUUGCCUCGAGAACAGAGAGUUGAUCAUGGAGUCGUGACUCUGAGUGUCAUUUUUGUCAUAGAUACGGUCACUGGAAGAGAGACUGCGUGGCGUUUAAGUUACGGAAUAGGCAAGAUGUAA